rnacentral:lncRNA from 1 species
ACUUGCUAAGCUUAACAGCUUCUCCUUUCAUCACACAAGCUCACUAACAACCUUGUGGGAACACCUCCAUCUUCUUCAGACUUGAUGCUUACUUCCCCACUUAACCACCAUUGCACUGAGGAGAUACCUCAGCUUACUCUCCAAGUACUUCUUAUUAGAAGCUCAUUGAGUCGCUUUCUUCUUCCCUCUACUUCGGCUGCAUCUACACAUGAUCAGCUUGCAAUGGCCUUGAGGAACCAGGUCAUUGAGCUUAGAGGAUCUUCUGGUAGCUCACUUGAAUCCUCACCUCAAACUUGACUUAGUGUAGGUGCAAGCUUGAAGUGAGCCUCAAUGAGACUUCAAACCGGGAGCGCAUCACUACCUACAGCUGCGCUUAACCCAACCGAUCUGCCAUUGCCUUCAGCUCCAAUGCCUUCAGGUCAUCAGUCUCCCCAAGACUUAGGUGAUGACCUUUACUUGUGUGUCUCCAUGAACCAGGAGCACAUCACUAUCACUAGCUGCGCUAUCUUAACCGGCCAUACACACAAGUCUUUCUCCAUUGCUUUAACAAUGGCAAAGUCUUCCUCUUCUACUUGGAUGGAUGGUGAGCAAAGAACACUUCUUGUGAACCUGAAACACCACUCAAACUCCAGCAAAGAUAAGACACAAAGGUAUUGGAAUCAAUUCUUGAAAUAUCAUCAAGGUUGAUCACCAAUAUCACAAGCAUUGCAACAGAUUACACAAGACAUAUUCAAGUUCUAAUCUUUGCAAGCAAUUUCUCUAAGUAUAUGCAAGAUCUAAACAGAUUCAAUACAAGUUACUUAGGCAAUUUUAACUUCUGCCUUAACUACAUCUUAGACUUGAAUCCAAGUGCAUCAACCUAAGACAGCAACAACACUCUAAGCUUUAUUACACUACUCGGUUACAAUCAAUGAAAGUAACCAGGAUCAGACACAUCUAGUAUCCUAUACAAUCAUUGUAGAACCGAGGCAAGCUUUACAACUCUCAAUCACCAUUCACAACUCUCAAGUAUCUUGGGACAGAUUCUAAACAUUUCAUAUCUAGCAAUCUUUAAACAUCCACAAGUUUUCAAUCACAUCACAACAUCACAACCUGUUCAUACACUCAAGCUUUAUACAAGAGAAAGAGAUUUCCUUACAGCCAAGGAACUAGUGUUAGUUCCUUGAAACUCCUUAGUACAUGGGAAGAUCCGAGCUGUUGGUGUCAACUCCUACAUAUCCUUCUUUCAUGGACCUUUCUCUUGAACCCACCAUGCCUAAGACACCUCCUCUCUUCAUUUUUUGAGUCGCCAUACCAGGUACAAGUUGAAAGCUUUCACCUUUCUUCUUGGACAGUGAAUGGGAAUGGCUUGGACAUGCUUCCAAUGGCCUUCUUUCUUCAGGACGACCAUGAGAGAGUAGAGAACGACCAAGAACAGCUUCUGGACGCCAUUGAUGAGCACACCUUCUUCUUGAAGAGGUUGAACAGCCAAAUGAACAUGAAGCUUCUUCUUGGUUUGGAAAUGGCAUGGGAGUGAGCUUUGAGCUUAGCGGAAGCUGGAACCAAGUUCUAAUGAACCUGGCUCUGAUACCAUAUGAGAUUUAAGAGUACUCAGGUUGUAUGUGUGUAUGAAACCCAAAUGGGUAAAGAGAGAGAGAGCUUGGAAGCGAUUUGAGAGAAAGGAAGUUUAAUGAGUGUUUGUGUGUCUAAGUGUUUAAGAGAUUAGUGACCAGACUAAGAACGUGUAUAGAGAUUCAGGAUGAGAAACUAGAGAGACAAAGAGAAAGUUGUUGAGAUGAGAGAAUAAAGAGUUGAUAUAUUGAGAGAGGAAGAGAGUUGGAGUAGACAGUAACUUUGGAGUUUUACUGUGGUAACUUUAGUUUAACCACAGUAACAACUUGGGAAGUUAUCUGAUGGCAUGAGAAGGUAACUUAGUGAAGGGAAGAGAGUAAACUCGACCAAAGAGGAUAAGGAAGGAUAAGGGAGCACUUUGACAGCCUGUAUGAUGCUGGAAAGGAGAGGAUGCUUUNNNNNNNNNNNNNNNNNNNNNNNNNNNNNNNNNNNNNNNNNNNNNNNNNNNNNNNNNNNNNNNNNNNNNNNNNNNNNNNNNNNNNNNNNNNNNNNNNNNNNNNNNNNNNNNNNNNNNNNNNNNNNNNNNNNNNNNNNNNNNNNNNNNNNNNNNNNNNNNNNNNNNNNNNNNNNNNNNNNNNNNNNNNNNNNNNNNNNNNNNNNNNNNNNNNNNNNNNNNNNNNNNNNNNNNNNAGAUGCCUAUUCUUCCUCUCAGCUACCCCAUUCUGCUGUGGUGUGUAAGGACAACUGGUCUGAUGCACUAUCCCAUGUUUAGCCAAGUGAUUCUUGAAGGCAUGACUGGUGUAUUCUCCUCCAUUAUCAGACCGUAGUACCUUCACAGUAGCAUUGUAAUGGUUAGUUACAUAUGCUUGGAAGUUGACAAAAGCCUCAAAAACUCUAUCUUGGGGCUCCAGUGUAGGCUACAAGAGACCUCCCAUCACCUGCUUCACGCCCAUCUAUCUCCUUCCCUUUGCUAGUACCUUCUCCACUUGCGCUUGCUCUAUCUGAGACAUUAGCCCUUGCCUCUCUGUCCUUCAUAAACUUUGCCGGCUUGAGAUGGGGAUGGAGUAUCCAGCAUUGGCUCUUCUUGUGGCCAUGCUUCUUGCAGUGAUCACAGUUCCCAUUGAACCUCCUCUCAUCAUACUUCCCAUGCGCAGCCUUGUGUGCUUGUGGAGCUUCCCCUCCCUCCUCUUGAGUUGCUUGAUUCACGAGAGAUAGCUCUCCUUUCUUUCCAAACAACCCAAUAGAGCCUUGUUCCUUCUGAAUCCUUGCGCACACUUCUUCAAGAUCAGGUAGUGUGUCCUCUCUAAGCAAGUGUUGGAUAAGACCAUUGUAAGCCGGAUUCAUGGUGAGGAGUAGCCCAAAGACCUUAUAGCCUGCUUCACCUCAAACACACGGCUCAGGUUUGAUGUAUUCCCAUACACCUUCUUCAACGUAUCCCACAGCUCUUUAGCUGAUUCACAGUAGCUGUAUGCAUCUAGAAUCGCCGGCUCAAGUGAAGCAUGCAGCACUGACAUGUCCUCCUGAUGCCACUUCUCUUCCGCUUUGCUUGCGGCUUCUCCUUCAGUUUCUCCUUGGGUGAUGAGCUUUGGAGCUUCUCCUGGCGUGAUGUGCUUCCAAAGCCCUUUGCUUCCCACCGUGGUUCUCACCAUCCGAGACCACACCAAGUAGUUGGUUCCCUUGAAGCAAACCGCUACCUUCAUGUUCAUGUUCAUACCACUCUCCAUGAUGAACGAUGACUUCUCUAGACUUCACAAACUGGAUCUUGAGUUAAAAGACUUGUAAGAACACUCACUGCCUCGGUCUUCAACCUCACAGCUUCAGCAACACACUAAAAACUAGUCUUUGAACUCGGACAAUACCCGGAACUUCCCAAGAACACAAGAACACCAACCAAACUCUUUAAAGCUUCAAUCUUGAAUCUCCAAAGAGCCUAACACGAACUCAGGUUCUCACUAACCUGGCUCUGAUACCAUAUUAGUUUUAGUAAUGUUUAGAGUAAUCUGAGUGUUUAGGAAAGACUAGAAUCGAUUUAGAGAAGAUUAGAGUAUGAAAUGAGAUUAUGAGUCUAAUAUGGAACCAUUGAGAUUUAAAGACUAAGAGAAAGACUCAAAACUUGCAUGAUUUUAUUAAUGAGUGAGGUUACAUAUUUAUAAGAGAGACACAAGGGUUUACAAGAAGGGAAAUGGGCACUAUUGAACCGUGUGGAGUCAAGGGGCGCCUUUUGAAUGAUUGGUCAGGAUGGCUCACAUGCUUCAGCUCUUUACAGCCUGUUCCAGCCUGGCACGCUCUUGCCUUAUCCUCUCAACGGUCUGAUCCAACUCCCUAAGCUACCCAAGUCACUCCUCCUUAGUUACCGUCUCACUUGGAUAGGGUAUGGUAAGUUUUGGUUGAGGUUUGGAUGGUACGGCUUGUACGGCCUUGUACGGCCUUGUACGGCCUUGUACGGCCUUGUACGGCCUUGUACGGCCUUGUACGGCCUUGUACGGCCUUGUACGGCCUUGUACGGCCUUGUACGGCCUUGUACGGCCUUGUACGGCCAGCCGUACCAUACUCUCCCAAACUUCCCUAAGUACUUCAUCUCCUCUUCUCUUCAACUCCUUAUCUCUUCAUAUCCAUAUACUCAGCUCAUCUCAACAGUCGCCAGGUCCAUGAUGUUUCAAUCCAAUGUGCCUACGAAGUUUUGGAGUGAUGCAGUUGCUACAGCUUGUUAUCUCAUCAAUAGGACACCAACGUUGAUCCUGCAAGGGCAAUCACCAUUUGAGGUAUUGAAUCAAUACAAGCCCUCCUUGGAGCAUAUGAAGAUCUUUGGGUGUUUGUGUUUUGUGAUGGUGCCGAGGGAGAUAAGAAACAAGCUAGAAGCUAAGAGCUCAAAGGCAAUGUUUAUUGGAUACUCAUCAAGCCAGAAAGGAUACAAGUGCUAUGACCCUAACACGAGGAGAGUGUUAGUAUCUAGAGAAGUGAAGUUUGUGGAAGAAAAAGGGUAUUAUGAGGAACAGAUUCAAGAAGACUUGAGAGAUCUUAAGAGCUGCAACCUUAAGAAUAAUCCUAGAAGGUCUUGGAAUCCAAGUGGAUCAAGAACCACAAGAAGUGAGAAGCACUACACAGACUCCGGAUCAUCAGACGUCCAAUCUUGAGCAUGAGGGGGGGAAUGAAAGAAGAACUCAAAACAGUGAAGAGACAAGUAGAAAAGAGAGUUCUAGUGCUCAUGAUCAAGCUAUGGAGUCAAAUGAUCAACAAGAAGGAGCUGAAGAGAGUCAGCUAAGGGAAGAGGGAGCUGAAGCAAGUCAGCUAGGAGAAGAAAGAUCUGAAACAAGUGAAGGGCCACAAGAAGAAGAACAAGAGAUGGCUCAAGAAGGGCCAGUGUUGAGAAGAAGUACAAGGCUGAGAAAGGAUCCUUCUAGCUGGGUAAACACGAGAGUGUACUACAAUGCCCAAACUGUGGAGCAUCCUACUCAGGCUGUGUGUUCUUUUUCUCAAUAUCCAGAAGCACAUUGCGCAUUCAUGGUAAACUUGGAUGAGAAUCACAUUCCAAGAAGCUAUGAAGAGGCAAUGAAGGAUAAGGAAUGGAAGGAAUCAGUAGGAACUGAGGCAGGAGCAAUGAUCAAGAAUGAUACAUGGUAUGAGAGUGAAUUGCCAAAAGGGAAGAAGGCUGUGUCUAGUAGAUGGAUCUUCACAAUCAAAUACAAGGCUGAUGGGAUGAUUGAGAGGAAGAAGACUAGACUAGUAGCAAGAGGGUUCACUCAGACAUAUGGAGAGGAUUACAUUGAGACAUUUGCACCAGUAGCCAAGUUACACACCAUUCGGAUUGUUUUGAGCUUGGCUGUGAAUCUUGGAUGGGGAUUGUGGCAAAUGGAUGUAAAGAAUGCAUUCCUACAAGGUGAACUUGAGGAUGAAGUGUAUAUGCAUCCACCUCCAGGCCUUGAACACUUAGUGAAGAGAGGUAAUGUGUUGAGAUUGAAGAAAGCUAUCUAUGGGCUGAAGCAAUUAGUGAAGAAGGGAAAUGUGCUGAGGCUAAAGAAAGCUAUCUAUGGAUUGAAACAAUCACCAAGAGCCUGGUACAACAAGCUAAGCACAACACUGAAUGGGAGAGGCUUUAGAAAGUCAGAAUUGGAUCAUACGCUUUUUACCCUAACUACACCCUCAGGUAUGGUUGCUCUCCUUGUGUAUGUGGAUGAUAUCAUUAUCACAGGAAGUGAUAAGGAAGGUAUCAAAGCAACCAAGGAGUUUCUUAAGUCUAUGUUUGAAAUCAAAGACUUGGGAGAAAUGAAAUACUUUCUUGGAAUUGAGAUUUGUAGAUCCAAGGAAGGUUUAUUCAUGUCCCAAAGGAAGUACACACUUGAUCUUUUGAAAGGUGCAGGUGCUUAUGGAGGCAAGACAGCAAGGAUGCCCAUGGAGGAUGGCUACAAAGUACCAAGAGAGGGGGAGAUUGAAGACAGCAAGCCAUUUCAUGAUCCUAAACUCUAUAGAACACUUGUUGGCAAAUUGAUUUACCUUACCAUUACAAGGCCUGAUAUAUGCUUUGCUGUGAAUCAGGUGAGUCAACACAUGCAGCUUCCCAAGGAACAUCAUUGGCGCAUGGUGGAGAGGCUGUUGAUGUAUCUGAAUGGCUCGCCUGAUCAAGGAGUAUGGAUAGGGUGCAAUGGAAGCACUCAAGUGGUGGGCUAUUGUGAUGCAGAUUGGGCAGGAGAUAAAGCUGAUAGGAGAUCAACAACCGGCUAUUGCACAUUCAUUGGAGGCAACUUGGUGACUUGGAAGAGUAAGAAACAGAAGGUGGUGUCAUGCUCAAGUGCAGAAGCUGAGUAUAGAGCUAUGCUGAAGCUUACAAACGAGCUAGUUUGGAUCAAGGGCAUCUUGAAGCAUUUGAAGAUAGAACAAGCCACUCCAAUGACAAUGCAUUGUGACAACCAAGCCACCAUUCACAUAGCCUCCAACCCGGUGUUCCAUGAGAGGACAAAGCACAUUGAGGUUGAUUGCCACAAGGUGAGGCAGAUGAUUGUCCUAGGAGUCAUCUUGCCAUGUUAUACUAAGAGUGAAGAUCAGUUGGCUGAUGUAUUCACCAAGGCUGCAAGGCAAAAGACAAUGGAGUCCAUUCACAUCAGAUUGGGCCUCAUUGAUCUUAGGAAGAGAGGUAGCUGAUCCCCUUAGUCAUGAGAUCUUUACUCUUUUUCCCUCAUCAAGGUUUUGUCCCAAUGGGUUUUCCUUGGUGAGGUUUUUAAUGAGGAAGAUCUCAUGGCUGUCCAAGCUUAGGCUUUCACAAAGCUAAGCUUGAGGGGGAGUGUUGAGAUGAGCUGAGUAUAUGGAUAUGAAGAGAUAAGGAGUUGAAGAGAAGAGGAGAUGAAGUACUUAGGGAAGUUUGGGAGAGUAUGGUACGGCUGGCCGUACAAGGCCGUACAAGGCCGUACAAGCCGUACCAUCCAAACCUCAACCAAAACUUACCAUACCCUAUCCAAGUGAGACGGUAACUAAGGAGGAGUGACUUGGGUAGCUUAGGGAGUUGGAUCAGACCGUUGAGAGGAUAAGGCAAGAGCGUGCCAGGCUGGAACAGGCUGUAAAGGGCUGAAGCAUGUGAGCCAUCCUGACCAAUCAUUCAAAAGGCGCCCCUUGACUCCACACGGUUCAAUAGUGUCCAUUUCCCUUCUUGUAAACCCUUGUGUCUCUCUUAUAAAUAUGUAACCUCACUCAUUAAUAAAAACCAAGCAGUUUGAGUCUUUCUCUUAGUCUUUAAUCUCAAUGGUUACAUAUUAGACUCAUAAUCUCAUUUCAUACUCUAAUCUUCUCUAAAUCGAUUCUAUUCUUCUCUAAACACUCAGAUUACUCUAAACAACACUAAAAGUGUUACAUAGCUUUAGUACUCUUUGCUUCUAGCUUGUUCCUCCUCUCUCCGGGAACCAUCACAUAACAUAAACACCCAAAGACUCUCAAAUGAUCAAGGUGUGGCUAAGUCUUGUUCAAUACCUCAAAGGGAGACAGAUUCUUUAGGAUCUUGGUCGGAACUCUGUUGAUGAGAUAGCACGCAGUCUGAACAGCAUCCCCCCAAAACCUCUUUGGAACAUUUGCAUGAAACAUCAUUGACCUUGCUACCUCCAUCAAGUGCCUAUUCUUUCUCUCAGCCACCCCAUUCUGCUGUGGUGUGUAAGGACAGCUUGUCUGCUGCACAAUCCCAUGCUUUGCUAGAUGACUCUUGAAAGCAUUGCUAGUGUAUUCUCCUCCAUUAUCAGAUCUUAGCACCUACAUAUAAAUAUGUAAACUCUCUCAUUAAUAAGAUUAAGCAAGUUUUGAGUCUCUCUCUUAGUCUUUAAAUCUCAAUGGUUCCAUAUUAGACUCAUAAUCUCAUUUCAUACUCUUAUCUUCUCUAAAUCGAUUCUAGUCUUUCCUAAACACUCAGAUUACUCUAAACAUUACUAAAACUAAUAUGGUAUUAGAGCCAGGUUAGUGAGAACCUGAGAUCGUGUUAGGCUCUUUGGAGAUUCAAGAUUGAAGCUUUGAAGAGUUUGGUUGGUGUUCUUGCGUUCUUGGGAGGUUCCGGGUAUUGUCCGAGUUCAAAGACUAGUUUUUAGUGUGUUGCUGAAGCUGUGAGGUUGAAGACCGAGGCAGUGAGUGUCCUUACAAGUCUUUUAACUCAAGAUCCAGUUUGUGAAGUCUAGAGAAGUCAUCGUUCAUCAUGGAGAGUGGUAUGAACAUGAACAUGAAGGUAGCGGUUUGCUUCAAGGGAACCAACUACUUGGUGUGGUCUCGGAUGGUGAGAACCACGGUGGGAAGCAAAGGGCUUUCGAAGCACAUCACGCCAGGAGAAGCUCCAAAGCUCAUCACCCAAGGAGAAACUGAAGGAGAAGCCGCAAGCAAAGCGGAAGAGAAGUGGCAUCAGGAGGACAUGUUGGUGAUGUCAGUGCUGCAUGCUUCACUUGAGCCGGCGAUUCUAGAUGCAUACAGCUACUGUGAAUCAGCUAAAGAGCUGUGGGAUACGUUGAAGAAGGUGUAUGGGAAUACAUCAAACCUGAGCCGUGUGUUUGAGGUGAAGCAGGCUAUAAACAACUUGGUACAAGAGGAUAUGGAGUUCACAAAGCAUCUAGGGAGGUUCAGAACACUCUGGUCCGAGCUGGAGAUGUUGAGGCCAAGCACUACAGAUGCAGAUGAGCUCAACAAAAGAAGAGAGCAAGACAAGGUCUUUGGGCUACUCCUCACCAUGAAUCCGGCUUACAAUGGUCUUAUCCAACACUUGCUUAGAGAGGACACACUACCUGAUCUUGAAGAAGUGUGCGCAAGGAUUCAGAAGGAACAAGGCUCUAUUGGGUUGUUUGGAAAGAAAGGAGAGCUAUCUCUCGUAAAUCAAGCAACUCAAGAGGAGGGAGGGGAAGCUCCAGAAGCACACAAGGCUGCGCAUGGGAAGUAUGAUGAGAGGAGGUUCAAUGGGAACUGUGAUCACUGCAAGAAGCAUGGCCACAAGAAGAGCCAAUGCUGGAUACUCCAUCCCCAUCUCAAGCCGGCAAAGUUUAUGAAGGACAGAGAGGCAAGGGCUAAUGUCUCAGAUGGAGCAAGCGCAAGUGGAGCAGGUACUAGCAAAGGGAAGGAGAUAGAUGGGCGUGAAGCAGGUGAUGGGAGGUCUCUUGUAGCCUACACUGGAGCCCCAAGCAACCGUGGGAACUAUGAUCAAGAGUAUCUAAGGAAAUCCGACCUGGAUGUUCUCAUUAAGCUCUUCAAGGAGCAUGGUAACAUUUUUGGGUAUUCCUUUGGUGCUAGGGCUAUAGGGAAUGAUGAGAAUCCAACUAGAAUUGAUAGGAUGCAUGAAAGUGUGAUAGAGAUAAUAAACCAAUCUAGAACGGAUAGUUUUGCUAGGAAUGAUCAUGCAUUCAAACCAUCUAGUAUACUUGCUCAUAUUGCUAGAAAUGAUCAUGCAUUCGAACCAUCUAGUAUCCUUGCUCAUAUUGCUAGUUCACAUACCAUUAAGCCUUUAGUAGUUGAUUCUGGUGCAUCUCAUCAUAUGAUAAGUGACACUAGUUUGAUUAAAAACAUUGUACCAAUGAAUGGAAAUGUGAUGAUAGCUAAUGGAGAUAAGAUACCUAUUAGAGGAAUAGGAAGUCUUAAACUGUUUGAUAAGGAAACUAAAGCCUUUUAUAUGCCUGAAUUUACUUCAAACUUGUUAUCUGUUAAGAAAUGUGCUACUGAUUUGCAAUGCAAUGUCAUAUUCAGUCCUAAUGAUGUGAAGUUUCAGGAUAUUAAAAGCAGCAAGAUGAUUGGAAAGGGAGUGACUAAAGGAGAAUUGUAUUUACUUGAAGAUCUUGCUCCUGUUUCUAGUUAUAGCUGCUCGUUUACUUCUGUUUCUGGUUCUAGUUUAAGUAAAAAUGCAUUGUGGCAUGCUAGAUUAGGACACCCUCAUAAUAAGGCUUUAAAACUGAUGUUGCCAGGUGUUUCCUUUGAGAAUAAUGAUUGUGAAGCUUGUAUUUUAGGCAAGCAUUGUAAGACUGUCUUUACCAAAUCUACUACGGUUUAUGAGAAGUGUUUUGAUUUGAUUCAUUCUGAUGUUUGGACUGCUCCUUGCUUAUCUAGAGACAAUCAAAAGUAUUAUGUAACUUUCAUUGAUGAAAAAUCCAAAUACACCUGGUUAACUUUAAUUCCAACCAAAGAUAGGGUACUUGAUGCAUUUAAGAACUUUCAAUCAUAUGUGACUAACCAUUAUAAUGCCAAGAUAAAGAUUUUCAGGUCAGAUAAUGGAGGAGAGUACACAGGACAAGCAUUCAAGCUCCAUCUAUCUCAGCAUGGAAUCCUACAUCAGACAAGCUGUCCCUAUACUCCACAACAGAAUGGUGUGGCUGAGAGAAAGAAUAGGCAUCUGAUGGAAGUGGCCAGGUCCAUGAUGUUUCAAACCAAUGUACCCAAGAAGUUCUGGAGUGAUGCGGUCACUACAGCUUGUUAUCUCAUCAACAGAACACCAACUCUGAUUCUGCAAGGGUUAUCACCAUUUGAGGUAUUGAACCGAUACAAGCCCUCAUUGGAACAUAUGAAGAUCUUUGGGUGUUUGUGUUUUGUGAUGGUACCGGGAGAAUUUAGAAACAAGCUUGAAGCUAGAAGCUCCAAGGCAAUGUUUGUUGGAUACUCAUCAAGUCAGAAAGGAUACAAGUGCUAUGAUCCUAACACAAGGAGAGUGUUAGUAUCUAGAGAAGUGAAGUUUGUGGAAGAAAAAGGAUAUUAUGAGGAGCAGAUUCAAGAAGAUUUGAAAGAUCUCACUUCAGAUAGAGCUGCAACCUUGAGGAUAAUACUAGAAGGACUUGGAAUCAAUAUGGAUCAAGAACAGCAAGAAGUAAGAGGCACUACACCAAUACCGAAUCAUCAGACGUCCAAUCUUGAACAUGAGGGGGGGAAUGGAACAGAAACUCAAACUCAAAGUCAUGAAGAGAGUUCUGGUUCUCAUGAUCAAGUUGUGGAGUCAAAUGAUCAACAAGAAGGAGCUGAAGCAAGUCAGCUAAGGGAUGAAGGAGCUGAAGCAAGUCAGCCAAGAAAAGAAAGUACACAAGAAGAUGUACAAGACAUGGAGUUACCGGCACAAGAAGGGCCAGUGUUGAGAAGAAAUACAAGGCUGAGAAAGGAUCCUUCCAGUUGGGUAAACACGAGAGUGUACUACAAUGCUUAAGCUGUGAAGCAUCCUACUCAGGCCGUUUGUUCUUUCUCUCAAUAUCCAGGAGCACACUGUGCAUUCAUGGUAAACUUAGAUGAGAAUCACAUUCCAAGAAGCUAUGAAGAGGCAAUGGAGGAUAAGGAAUGGAAGGAAUCAGUAGGAGCUGAGGCAGGAGCUAUGAUAAAGAAUGAUACAUGGUUUGAAAGUGAACUACCAAAAGGGAAGAAGGCAGUAUCUAGUAGAUGGAUCUUCACAAUCAAAUACAAGGCUGAAGGACAUAUUGAGAGGAAGAAGACUAGAUUAGUAGCAAGAGGGUUCACUCAAACAUAUGGAGAGGAUUACAUUGAGACAUUGCACCAGUAGCCAAGUUACAUACCAUUAGAAUUGUACUAAGCUUGGCGGUUAACCUUGGAUGGGGAUUGUGGCAAAUGGAUGUGAAGAAUGCAUUCUUACAAGGAGAACUUGAGGAUGAAGUCUACAUGUAUCCUCCACCAGGUCUUGAACAUCUAGUGAAGAGAGGGAAUGUACUGAGGCUAAAGAAGGCUAUCUAUGGGUUGAAGCAAUCACCAAGAGCAUGGUACAACAAGUUGAGCACAACUCUGAACGGCCGAGGUUUUAAGAAGUCGGAAUUGGACCAUACUCUCUUUACCCUCAAUACUCCCUCAGGUAUGGUUGCUCUCCUUGUGUAUGUGGAUGAUAUCAUUAUCACAGGAAGUGAUAAGGAAGGUAUCAAAGCAACCAAGGAGUUUCUAAAGUCUAUGUUUGAAAUAAAAGACUUGGGAGAAAUGAAAUACUUUCUUGGAAUUGAGAUUUGUAGAUCCAAGGAAGGUUUGUUCAUGUCCCAAAGGAAGUAUACACUUGAUCUUUUGAAAGGUGCAGGUGCUUAUGGAGGCAAGACAGCAAAGAUGCCAAUGGAGGAUGGCUACAAAGUACCAAGAGAGGGGGAGAUUGAAGACAGCAAGCCAUUUCAUGAUCCUAAACUCUAUAGAAAACUUGUUGGCAAAUUUAUUUAUCUAACCAUCACAAGACCUGAUAUAUGCUUUGCUGUGAAUCAGGUGAGUCAACACAUGCAGCUUCCCAAGGAACAUCACUGGCGUAUGGUGGAGAGGCUGCUGAUGUAUCUAAAUGGCUCGCCGGAUCAAGGUGUAUGGAUGGGGUGCAAUGGAAGCACAGAAGUGGUGGGCUAUUGUGAUCCUGAUUGGGCAGGUGAUAGAGCUGACAGAAGAUCAACAACCGGCUAUUGCACAUUCAUUGGAGGCAACUUGGUGACUUGGAAGAGUAAGAAACAGAAGGUGGUGUCAUGCUCUAGUGCAGAAGCUGAGUAUAGAGCUAUGCUGAAGCUUACAAACGAGCUAGUUUGGAUCAAGGGCAUCUUGAAGCAUUUGGAGAUAGCACAAGACACUCCAAUGACAAUGCAUUGUGACAACCAGGCCGCCAUUCACAUAGCCUCCAACUCGGUGUUCCAUGAGAGAACAAAGCACAUUGAGGUUGAUUGCCACAAGGUGAGGCAGAUGAUUGUCCUAUGAGUCAUCUUGCCAUGUUAUACUAGGAGUGAAGAUCAGUUGGCUGUGUUGAACUGAAGAGAAGAUAGAGCUUGUACAAUAAUAGGGCAAGCUCUAGAAGAUGUCCAGAAGAGUUCAAUUAAGCUUCAGAAGUGUUCUGAAGUAGUUAUCUUGUGAAGUUAAGUCUAGGAAAGACUUAGACUGAUCAUGUGAAGGCUUUGGAGGAGUUUGGGAGAAGAUGGCAGUAUGGUGUAAAGCUAGGGCAUUCAGUACGGCCAUGUACGGCCUAGGGCAAGCCAUGAAGAUGUCUGGUGCAAUCAAGAGGGAAGAUAGGGCAAUGUACAAAGAUAGGGCAAGUGGUACGGACAGGAGGUCCGUACCAACGACCGUACAGCCCACUCCUCUCGCCCAAGUCAUCCGGUUAAGCCCAAAUCAAGAUGUGCAAUGUGAGGGCGGUUUACUUUGAUCCAAUCCUUUCCUUAUGUCCGUUGGGGAGUCUUGGAGGCAAAGGAAGAAUCAAAUGGAUAAGGUGAGCUGUUGGUAUGAGCUGGAAAGGUAAAGGUGCUUUACCUUUACAGCCUUGACUCAUCUGAUCCAUCCAAUUCAAAUGAAGCAAUCUGAGCCCUCCAUUCAGUCCAACCACGACCAGCUAGCACCAGAACAUCAAAGACCAGCUUCCUCUCAUCCUAACCAUCCAUUUAUCUUUAAUUUACAGCCUUAGGAUCUAGUUUUAUGAUCUGAGUUGUGUAAAGGCAUAAAUAAGCCUCUUAGGAUCAUUUUGUAACCCUUAAGCUGAGAGAGUCUCUCUUCUUCAUAAACUUGUUCUUGGAUCUUAUUCUCUGGUUACUAAGUCUCUCUAAUCUCCCAUACACGUUCCUAAUCUCUUAGUCUCUCCCAUACUCUCUCUGAUUCUCUUAAACUCAUUUCUAUUCUUCAUACUUCAUCAUACACAAAUCUCUCAUCUGUUCUUACAUCACUCAAGCACUUGUACUUUGAAAAUCUCACAGGCUGAUGUAUUUACCAAGGCUGCAGGUCAAAAGACAAUGGAGUCCAUUCAUAUUAGAUUGGGCCUCAUUGAUCUUGGGAAGAGAAGCAGCUGAUCCCCUUAGUCAUGAGAUCUUUACUCUUUUUCCCUCAUUAAGGUUUUGUCCCAAUGGGUUUUCCUUAGUGAGGUUUUUAAUGAGGAAGAUCUCAUGGCUGUCCAAGCUUAGGCUUUCACAAAGCUAAGCUUGAGGGGGAGUGUUGAGAUGAGCUGAGUUAAGUGAAGAAGGGAGAUGAGGUUUGAGUAGAAUGAGGAGAAGGGAGACUAGGAAGGAAUUGAGAGAUUCAAAGUAACCAAAGACUAUGAAGGAGAAGGGAAAAUCCCCCUUACUCACUUAAGAGUUACAAAACAUCACUUAUGAGCUUAUAUAUGCUCAUUACAACUUGCAAUCAUAAACCUAAAUCUAAGGGCUGUUAUAAAUUGAAUUUAAAUGGAUGGAUGAGAUGAAAAGAUGGUCUUGGUCGUGGCUUGCUCUUCCUGAUGGAUAAUUGGUCCAUUUGAAUCUGGUCAAGGGAAGGCUGGCUCCUUAUUGGCUAGCUAAAGGCUCCCAUGAAUCUGCCCACUUCUUUUGCUAGAUACAUGGUCUCCUUUUGCUUUAACUUUACAGCAAGGGACUCUCCUUUCCAGCCUGUCACUCGCCAGCCUCUCCUUUGUCUUCUUCUCUUAAGAGUUUUGUCUUCUUCUCUUAAGAGUUUUGUGUUCUCUUACUGUGGUAACUCUCCAAAGUUACUGUGGUAACUUUGGAGUUACUGUCUCAACCAAAUAUUCUCCAAAUGGUGUCUAAGUCCCUCCUGGACUUAAACCCAAUCUUGCACAGCCAUAAGAUCACUUCUUAACUUCUUAAGACCCUCCUGAAGCUUGACAGACAAUCUCUGUAAGACUUGCCCUCUCUUUGCACUAGAACCAAACUACUCCAUACUUCUCCUUUCACUCCAUUUCUAUUCUUCAAGUUAACAUUCUAGAGCUUGCCCUAUCAUUGUACAAGCUCCAUCUUCUCUUCAGUUCAACAUUCAGUUCAACACUCCCCCUUAAGCUUGACUCUAGGAGAUCCUGAGCCAAGCUUGGAACCCUGAAGAGUCUCCCUCAUUAAAAACCUUGCAAAGAAAACCCUGUGGGACAAAACUUUGCAAGGGAAAAAGAGUAGAGCUCUUAAGGGCCUAGGGAUUGGCCAGUGAGCUAUUGUGCCUUAGAACCAGUGUGGUUGGACAAAAGAAGCUCUGGAUCACGGCCUAAUAGGUGCAGUAACUCAACACAGCUUUGCGCACACUUCACACUUCAGCUUCACCUCUUCAUGGAACCGGUUUGAAGUUUCCCCCUCUCAACUGACUUCACAGCCAUUUUAGAGAAGCUAGGACACGACCAGAUCAUCUUCAAAACACCAGUAAGGCUGAUCAACACUUCACACACGGCUUGCCCUCUUCAUCGAACUGGUUUGGGUCUCCCCUUCUCAACAGACUUCUCAGCCACCUUAGAGAAGCUAGGAAACUGACCAGGAACAUCUUUAGUGAGGCUCAAGCAAUGGUACCUGAUACAUUAUCCCAAAGGUGCAUUAGUACCUAUCAAAACCAAGAAAAUGAAUAUCCUGCAUCACACUUGAUGCACACAAUCUCACAAUUCAAUCAUAAUCAUCUUAAGUAUCUUUUCAAGUACAAGCAAUGAAUAAGAUGAAUGAAAAGGAUUGAAAAGAGUUUUAAAAGUCUAAGGGAACUUCCCUUGUGUUUUUGUGAGUUUCCUAACUCUCUCAAUGCACCAUCUUCAUGUCAUCAUCAACUUCUUGGAAAGGCAGAAUGGAUUGAUCAGCUUCUCGUCAAUCACCUCUCAUUGAAGCCGCAUUGAUGGAGAGCCUUCUUCCUCACUUGCCAAGGCUGCUCUGAACAGCCUCUUGCCUAGACACGCCACUGACUUGGCCCGGUUGAUGAUCCUUGUAGAAGCUUUUGCAACAAAAGACUUGUUACUGACCAUGGAUCAUAUGCAUUAAGACUCCCCCUCAAGCUUGGAACCGAGACUAGAAGGAGCUAAGCUUGUGAUGAUUCUAUGCAUCUCCAUGGUCUAAUAACUAUCAUUUUUCAUGAUAGCUUUCUUCUUGUGAGUUUUCUCUCUUCCUUAACCAGGAAUUAGGGUGUUUGAAUCACCAUAGAGAGUCCUCACAAGGCAAGUUCUCACUGUAUAAUAACUCAUGCUACACUUCAUGUAGACUAUGGACUGAACAUGUCCUAUGAUAUUAUACAAUGGCAUUCUCUCAUUGCAUAAUCAAUCACACUACACUUCCUGUAGAUUAUGGAUUAACACAUCCAGUGAUGAUUUGCAAUGGAACUAGACCUUUUGUCUUCACACUUUGGUUUGGCUUGUCACUGUAUCACUUCUUUGUGUACCUAACAUCACCACAACUCAAUGCAAGAUCAGAUCAUCCCAUUGGGAUCAAACUAAGAUCAUCCAUCCUGUUUGAUCACCAAUGCCACAACAAUAUAUAAACCUUGAAACAAGCCAAUCAAUCAAGGCAAGAACAAGCAGUUUUAAAUCUCUAAAAAUGACAAUGCAAGCUUUAAACAAUACAUUGAAAAUUUAGGCUCAUUUUUAAAUGCAUCAAUACAUGAAUGCACAAUCUUAAAGCAUUAGCUAUAUGAAUGCAACAGGUUCAAUCCGAGAGCAAUAUUAAAGCUAUGCACAACAGUUCCAAUCAAUACCAAUGAUGCAAGCAACUUAGACAGUUUCUAAUUGAUGCAAGACAAUCAAUGAUGGAUUAAACAUAGGCAAUAGCAUCAGACAACAAUAGGAUUGAACUUAGACAGUAUGAGACAUGCUUAUGUAUGCAAAACAGCUUAUCAAUCAUGAUGCAAGCAGCAGAGACAUUCUACUCAAGUCUACAACACAUUCAUGAUAAUUUCAAGCUAUGGCAAUACACAAGACAAUGCAAUGAACAGAACAUGAGAUUUUGGGACUCUAGACAUUACCUAAUAUCAAUAAGACAAUGCAGCAGCAAAAUAUUUCCAGUGCAAUUAGCCUAGACAUUCUACUAGAAGCUAUAAACUCUUAAUGUAAAUUAGGGAAAGCACAGAGUAUAAUCAAGAGAUAGACCUAUCAAGACAUAUUAAGAUAGAUGAGACUAGGUUUACUUCCUUGUUUAAGAUGGUGAGGAGUGGUCUCUUCAUUUCGCCACUUGAGUCCUCACUUGCUAAGCUUAACAGCUUCUCCUUUCAUCACACAAGCUCACUAACUUGAAGGUGAGCGCUUACUAAGCUUCAUGAACAACCUUGUGGGAACACCUCCAUCUUCUUCAGACUUGAUGCUUACUUCCCCACUUAACCACCAUUGCACUGAGGAGAUACCUCAGCUUACUCUCCAAGUACUUCUUAUUAGAAGCUCAUUGAGUCGCUUUCUUCUUCCCUCUACUUCGGCUGCAUCUACACAUGAUCAGCUUGCAAUGGCCUUGAGGAACCAGGUCAUUGAGCUUAGAGGAUCUUCUGGUAGCUCACUUGAAUCCACACCUCAAGCUUGACUUAGUAUAGGUGCAAGCUUGAAGUGAGCCUCAAUGAGACUUCAAACCGGGAGCGCAUCACUACCUACAGCUGCGCUUAACCCAACCGAUCUGCCAUUGCCUUCAGCUCCAAUGCCUUCAGGUCAUCAGUCUCCCCAAGACUUAGGUGGUGACCUUUACUUGUGUGUCUCCAUGAACCAGGAGCACAUCACUAUCACUAGCUGCGCUAUCUCAACCGGCCAUACACACAAGUCUUUCUCCAUUGCUUUAACAAUGGCAAAGUCUUCCUCUUCUACUUGGAUGGAUGGUGAGCAAAGAACACUUCUUGUGAACCUGAAACACCACUCAAACUCCAGCAAAGAUAAGACACAAUUGCAUUGGGAUCAAUCCUUGACUUCAUCAAGUUUGAUCACCAAUGUCUCAAGCUUUAUAGCAUUAGAUAGAAUCAAGACAAUGUCAAGUUCUUAUCUAUGCAAGCAACCAUUCUCUAAAUACAAAGCAAGACCUUAUCAGAUUCAAGUCAACGUAUUUAGGCAAUUUUAAUUACUUCUUAAUCUGCAACUUAGACUUUGAUUUCUAACUCAUGACAGCAAGCAUGAUAAUAUAAUCUAUCAUAUUAACAAGACAAUUUAAUUUAGAACUGGACAUUAAGCAUUUAACCAUUUUCAAUCUUAUUGAUGUCAAAUCUUGAUUAAUAACUUAUCAAGUUUGAUUCCCACUAUCACAAGCAAUGCAACAGAUAGACACAAGGCAUUAUCAGGUUCUAUUCUUUGCAAGCUAACUCUCUAAGUACAAGCAAGAUCCUAACAGAUUCAAGACAAGUUUCUUAGGCACUCUUAAGAGCUUCUUUACUCAGCACUUAGACAUGAAUCUAAUGCUUCAAUGUAAGACAGCCACAAGAUGAUAAAAUGCUUUAAUCUUUAUCAGUCUCUAACACAUGAAUGCACCCAGUUUUAACAGUAGCAUUUAGCACAUUAAUACACAUUCAUUUAGAGCUGGGAUUAAGAAAUAACAUUAUCAACCAACAUCAGACACAAUGCAUAACCUUUGGUGAUUUCAUUUCAUGAAUGCAAUCAGGUUUAGACAAAUUCUAACUCCCUAACAAGCAUCACUAGAAUCAAGGCAUUUUUAAACAUUUCAGACACCAAACAAGACUUUUUAAAUAUCCUCGGACAGAUUCUAAACUCAUUUUCAUUUAGCAAUCUUAAACAUAUCCUCAGGUUUUCAAUCACAACAUCACAACCAUAUCAUAAAGACACAAGCUUUAAACAAGGGAAAAAGGUUUAGCUUACAACCAAGGAACCAGUGCUUGUUCCUUGAGCCUCCAAGGCAAUCUGCAUCAUAAAUGGACAAACCAACAUCUCCUUCUUUACGUGGCCUUUCUCCUUGAACCCACCAUGCCAAAGACACCUCCUUUCUUCAUGUUUGAGUUGCCACACAAGUACCAAUGCUGAAAGCUUCCUCCUUGGAAGGUUUCUUCUUGGACAGUGAAUGGGAAAGGCUUGGACAUGCUUCCAAUUGCCUUCUUUCUUCAGGGCGGACAUGAGAGAGUAUGAUGGACUUAGGACAGCUUCUAUACAUGCCAUGGAUGAGCAAAACUUCAUCUUGAAGAGAUUACACAGCCGGCUGGAAAGAACUUCUUCAACAGCUUCAAUAGCUUGAAAAUGGCAUGGGAGUGAGCUUGUGCUUGAGCUGAAGCUGGAACCAAGUUCUGAUGAACCUGGCUCUGAUACCAUAUAAGAUUUAACAGAGUUCAGGUUGUGUGUGUGAUGAACACGCCCUUAAGGGCAAGAGAUCUUGUCUUGUGACAAUAAUGGAAGAGAAUAAAAGAGAGACUGAUGGAAGAAUAAGGAUGGUGUGAGAUUAAGAGACUUUGAGUGAGAGAUUAAGAGAUUAGAGAGACUGAGAGAUUAAGUAACCAGAGAAUAGAGAUUGAGAGAUUCAAAGUAACCAAAAACUAUGAAGGAGAAGGGAAAAUCCCCCUUACUCACUUAAGAGUUACAAAACAUCACUUAUGAGCUUAUAUAUGCUCUUUACAACUUGCAAUCAUAAACCUAAAUCUAAGGGCUGUUAUAACUUGAAUUUAAAUGGAUGGAUGAGAUGGAAAGAUGGUCUUGGUCGUGGCUGGCUCUUCCUGAUGGAUAAUUGGUCCAUUUGAAUCUGGUCAAGGGAAGGCUGGCUCCUUAUUGGCUAGCUAAAGGCUCCCAUGAAUCUGCCCACUUCUUUUGCUAGAUACAUGGUCUCCUUUUGCUUUUACUUUACAGCAAGGGACUCUCCUUUCCAGCCUGUCACUCGCCAGCCUCUCCUUUGUCUUCUUCUCUUAAGAGUUUUGUGUUCUCUUACUGUGGUAACUCUCCAAAGUUACUGUAGUAACUUUGGAGUUACUGUCUCAACCAAAUAUUCUCCAAAUGGUGUUUAAGUCCCUCCUGGACUUAAACCCAAUCUUGCACAGCCAUAAGAUCACUUCUUGACUUCUUAAGACCCUCCUGAAGCUUGACAGACAAUCUCUGUAAGACUUGCCCUCUCUUUGCACUAGAACCAAACUACUCCAUACUUUUCCUUUCACUCCAUUUCUAUUCUUCAAGUUAACAUUCUAGAGCUUGCCCUAUCAUUGUACAAGCUACAUCUUCUCUUCAGUUCAACAGCCAACACCUAUGAGAUUGAUUCAUCUUCCUGGUGAUUCUCCACAACUUUAUGUAUCCAAAUCAAGCUUUUCACAAAGUGAUUCAUCCUGGUUUGAUUGGAACGACGAAGAAGCUGUCCUAUUCCCAAACUGGUAAACUGGAAUCACCUGAUUUGAAAGUGGGAUAUCUUCUUCAUGCCAACUCCUAUAAGAUUUGGCCUAGGGAUUGGCCAGUGAGCUCUUGUGCCUUAGAACCAGUGUGGUUGGACACAAGAAGCUCUGGAUCACGGCCUAAUAGGUGCAGCAACUCAAAACAGCUUUGCGCACACUUCACACUUCAGCUUCACCUCUUCAUGGAACCGGUUUGAAGUCUCCCCCUCUCAACUGACUUCACAGCCAUUUUAGAGAAGCUAGGACACGACCAGAUCAUCUUCAAAACACCAGUAAGGCUGAUCAACACUUCACACACGGCUUGCCCUCUUCAUCGAACUGGUUUGGGUCUCCCCUUCUCAACAGACUUCUCAGCCACCUUAGAGAAGCUAGGAAACUGACCAGGAACAUCUUUAGUGAGGCUCAAGCAAUGGUACCUGAUACAUUAUCCCAAAGGUGCAUCAGUACCUAUCAAAACCAAGAAAAUGAAUAUCCUGCAUCACACUUGAUGCACACAAUCUCAUAAUUCAAUCAUAAUCAUCUCAAGUAUCUUUCCAAGCACAAGCAAUGAAUAAGAUGAAUGAAAAAAAGCAAUUCAAUCAUAAUCAUCUUAAGUAUCUUUUCAAGUACAAGCAAUGAAUAAGAUGAAUGAAAAGGAUUGAAAAGAGUUUUAAAAGUCUAAGGGAACUUCCCUUGUGUUUUUGUGAGUUUCCUAACUCUCUCAAUGCACCAUCUUCAUGUCAUCAUCAACUUCUUGGAAAGGCAGAAUGGAUUGAUCAGCUUCUCGUCAAUCACCUCUCAUUGAAGCCGCAUUGAUGGAGAGCCUUCUUCCUCACUUGCCAAGGCUGCUCUGAACAGCCUCUUGCCUAGACACGCCACUGACUUGGCCCGGUUGAUGAUCCUUGUAGAAGCUUUUGCAACAAAAGACUUGUUACUGACCAUGGAUCAUAUGCAUUAAGACUCCCCCUCAAGCUUGGAACCGAGACUAGAAGGAGCUAAGCUUGUGAUGAUUCUAUGCAUCUCCAUGGUCUAAUAACUAUCAUUUUUCAUGAUAGCUUUCUUCUUGUGAGUUUUCUCUCUUCCUUAACCAGGAAUUAGGGUGUUUGAAUCACCAUAGAGAGUCCUCACAAGGCAAGUUCUCACUGUAUAAUAACUCAUGCUACACUUCAUGUAGACUAUGGACUGAACAUGUCCUAUGAUAUUAUACAAUGGCAUUCUCUCAUUGCAUAAUCAAUCACACUACACUUCCUGUAGAUUAUGGAUUAACACAUCCAGUGAUGAUUUGCAAUGGAACUAGACCUUUUGUCUUCACACUUUGGUUUGGCUUGUCACUGUAUCACUUCUUUGUGUACCUAACAUCACCACAACUCAAUGCAAGAUCAGAUCAUCCCAUUGGGAUCAAACUAAGAUCAUCCAUCCUGUUUGAUCACCAAUGCCACAACAAUAUAUAAACCUUGAAACAAGCCAAUCAAUCAAGGCAAGAACAAGCAGUUUUAAAUCUCUAAAAAUGACAAUGCAAGCUUUAAACAAUACAUUGAAAAUUUAGGCUCAUUUUUAAAUGCAUCAAUACAUGAAUGCACAAUCUUAAAGCAUUAGCUAUAUGAAUGCAACAGGUUCAAUCCGAGAGCAAUAUUAAAGCUAUGCACAACAGUUCCAAUCAAUACCAAUGAUGCAAGCAACUUAGACAGUUUCUAAUUGAUGCAAGACAAUCAAUGAUGGAUUAAACAUAGGCAAUAGCAUCAGACAACAAUAGGAUUGAACUUAGACAGUAUGAGACAUGCUUAUGUAUGCAAAACAGCUUAUCAAUCAUGAUGCAAGCAGCAGAGACAUUCUACUCAAGUCUACAACACAUUCAUGAUAAUUUCAAGCUAUGGCAAUACACAAGACAAUGCAAUGAACAGAACAUGAGAUUUUGGGACUCUAGACAUUACCUAAUAUCAAUAAGACAAUGCAGCAGCAAAAUAUUUCCAGUGCAAUUAGCCUAGACAUUCUACUAGAAGCUAUAAACUCUUAAUGUAAAUUAGGGAAAGCACAGAGUAUAAUCAAGAGAUAGACCUAUCAAGACAUAUUAAAAUAGAUGAGACUAGGUUUACUCCCUUGUUUAAGAUGGUGAGGAGUGGUCUCUUCAUUUCGCCACUUGAGUCCUCACUUGCUAGUCUUCCUCUUUCAACUCGGAUGGAUGGUGAACCAAGAACACCUCUUGUGAACCUGAAACAUCACUCAAACUCCAGCAAAGAUAAGACACAAGUGCAUUGGGUCAACCCUUGAUGCAUCAUCAAGUUUGAACACCAAUGUCUUUAAGCAAUGCAACAGAUUAAACUAGACAUUUUCAAGUUCUAAUCUUUGCAAGCAAACUCUCUAAGCACAAGUAAGAUCAUAACAGAUUCAAUACAAGCUACCUAGGCAAUUUUUAAAGCUUCUUUACUCAGCAUUUAGACAUGAAUCUAAUGCUUCAAUGUAAGACAGCCAUUUGACAGUAUGCACUAACCUUAAUCAGUUUCAAUUCAUGAAUGCAACAAUACAAUCCAUCACACAUUCAUUUAUAACUUAGGCUAAGCAUUACUAUCAUCACUUAUCAUCAGACAAUGCAUUACUUUCAAUCUGUUUUCAGUUCAUGAGCUUCAAACAAUACCAUUUCAUUUAGCAAACUCAUUACUUAACAGGAGCAAGCAUUUUACUCUUUAAACACUAAACAAGCCUUUAAAGCAUCCUGGGACAGAUUCAACUAAUUUUAUUUAGCAAUCACACAUUAUCCUCAGGUUUUUCAAUCAAUACAUAUCACAAUAACCAGGCACAGUCACACCACAAGCUCAAUAUCAAGAAGGUUUUAAAGAAUCGCUUACACAAGGAACCAGGUUGGUUCCUUAACCUUUCAUGAAACCGGCCAUGCUUUGUUGGUCUUGAGAGUGUGGAUCGUCACCCACCUCUUUCACCUUCUGUUCAUGGCCUCCAUCUUGUACCAUCAGCUUCAAAGACCCCUCCUUUCUUCAUCUCCACUAGGCGCCAAGCUCUUGACACCAUCUUCUUUGGAACCGGAUGUGAUCUUCUCUUGGACAAGGCGCCUUGGUACAAGGAUAGCUAGGCCUUGUCCAUACACCUUUGCUUCCACUGAGAAUCACCACCAGGAUAGGAAGAGAACAGGAUGAGGAACCAUGAGAACUCGCCAAGCUUCAGUCUUCUUCUUCAUAAGAAGCUGAACCGGAUGGAGAGAGCUUCUAUGGUUUGGAUUUGAGCUGAGAAGAGAGCAGUGUGUUUGCGGAAGCUUCAGCUCAGGUUCUGAUGAACCUGGCUCUGAUACCAUGUGAGAUUUGAGAGCUCUGGCUGUGUAUGUGUAUGAAAAGCCAUUAAGGGCAAAGAUAAGGUCUUGAACUAGUUGAAUAAGAGGUCUGAUGAAACUAGUAUGAACUUGAAUCAGAAACAAAGAGACUUUGAGAGAUUAAGAGAUUAGAGACUAAGAAAGGGGUAGAUUAAGGGAAUCUGAUCAAGAACACACUUUUAUAAUUAUGAAGGAGAUGGGGAAAACCCCCAUACUCUCUUAAACAUUAAAAAUCGCCAAGAUGAGGUUUUUAUAUGCUUUUACAAUCUGCAAACUCAUAAACCUAAAUCUAAUGGCUCAUAAUAGACUUGAAGAAUGGAUGGAUCAGAUGGGGAGUUGGUCUGGUUUUAAUCUGAUUGGUUAAACUCUCUUUGCUGUCUGAUUGGUUUAUUUGAAUCUGGUCAAGUAGAGACCAGCCUCUUAUUGGCUCCUUUUAGGCUCCUGAAUGUUCCCAUGUAUCUGUCCAAAUACAUGGUCAAUACACAGCUCAUGGACAGCUUGCACAGCCUGUCACUUAUCCACAAACAGUCCCAUGACUUAGAGAAAGACAAUGGCGCCCCUUAUGAUCAGAAUCACUUCUUUGCUUCUUCACACACUUAGCUCACGAGUUGCUUCUUCCUUGGGACGCAAGUUAGGUCUUGUUACAAACAUCAGGGUGUGUACGAAAUGCUUUCCUGAUCGUACCAACGCCCUAAUUUUGCAUAAGACCUAAAAUGUCUCAAAUGAGUGAGUUAUGCUUCUCGGGUCGAUCCCGGUCCGUACAAGUCCGUACGGCCUCGUCCCGGUCUCGCCCUAUAUUUGCACACUCAUCCAUUUGUGCCUAAACCAUCUUCUAAGUCCCUCCUGGACUUGGCCCUAUCUUUGCACAGCCCUUAGAACACUUCUGGAGCUCAUCAGACACUUCCGAAACUUUAUAGACAAUCUUUAUAAGACUUGUCCUAUCUUUGAACCAGACCCAAACUCCUCCAUACUUCUCCUUUGACACCAUUUCUUUUCUUCAAGUUAACACUCCCCAUCAAGCUUGACUCUAGAUGAUCCUAAGUCAAGCUUGGAACCUUGAAGAACUUCCUCAUUAAAAACCUCACCAAGGAAAACCCUUUGGGACAAAACCUUGAUGAGGGAAAAAGAGUAAAGUCUCCAAGGCCUAGGGAUUGGCCAGUGAGUCUUUGUGCCUUACCAACAAUGUAAGGGACACAAAGACUCUGGAUCAUGGCCCUCAUGUGAUGCAAGAUAGAACCCACUCUUCUUGCUCAUCAUCAACACUUCUUGUACUCUUCUUCAGACAGAUCUUGGUCUCUCCCCCUUUCACCUAACUUCUUGUUAGGUUGAAGUGUUUGGACACACCAGAUCUUCCUUGAUAGAUACAAGUACCUGAUACAUCAUUCCACAAGUGUAUCAGUCCCCAAGAGAUAAACAUAUCAUGAAUGUAUAUAAAGAAUAGAUAAGGUUUACUCCCUUGUUUAGAUGGUGAGGAGUGGCUGCUCUUCACUAGCCACUUGAAUCCCUCACUUCUGAAACUCCAUCUGAUCAGUGAAGCCACUUCAACACUCCCCCUCAAGCUUGAGACCUCUUGCAAGGAUCAAGGUUGGACAGCAAGAAGGCUUCAUGAUCUGGACUGAACAAACCAUUGCAACCUCUCUUCAUAACUUGCCACCCUUGAUGGACUGCUGGUAGAUACCUCAGUUCCCUCUUCAAUCACCUCACACUAGAGGCCGCAUUGAUAGAGUAACCUUCUUCAUACGCAGCCAAGACUGCUCUGAACAAUCUCUUGAGUAGACACGCUACUGCCUAAACCCGGGUUGGCUCCUUCUUCGGAAGCUUGCAAUGGUAAGGAGGAAACAGGUCACUGAGCUUCGAGAAUCUUCUGGUAGCUCACUUGAAUCCCCACCUCAAGCUUGACUGAGCCUAGGUUCAAGCUUGAAGUGAGCCUCAAUGAGACUCCAAACCGGGAGCGCAUCACUUCCUACAGCUGCGCUUAAGUCAACCGAUCUCCCAUUUCCUUCAGCUCCAAUGCCUUCAGGUCACCGGUCUCCUCAAGACUUAGGUGAUGACCUUUCCUUGUGUGUCUCCAUGAACCAGGAGCGCAUCACUAUCACUAGCUGCGCUUCUCAACCGGCCAUACACACAAGCCACUCUCCAUUGCUUCAACAAUGGGCAAAGUCUUCCUCUUCUACUUGGAUGGAUGGUGAGCAAAGAACACUUCUUGUGAACCUGAAACAUCACUCAAACUCCAGCAUAGAUAAGACACAAAGGUAUUGGUAUCAAUCCUUGACACAUCAUCAAGGUUGAUCACCAAUAUCACAAGCAUUGCAACAGAUUAUACAAGACACUUUCAAGUUCUAAUCUUUGCAAGCAAACUCUCUAAGCACAAUCACUUUCUUUUCCAGAUUUAUGCAAGCUACUUAGGCAUUUUUAACUUCUGCCUUAACUGCAUCUUAGACUUGAAUCAAAGUGCAUCAACCUAAGGCAGCAACAACACUCUACACUCCACUUUAAGCUCGGUUUCAAUUCAUGAAAGCAGUCAGGUUUAGACAAUACUACUAACUCCCUAACAGACAUUCAUUAUGAACCAGAUUCAAGCAACAAUUCUCAGUCACCAACCAACUCUUUUUAAGCAUCCUGGGACAGAUUCUAAACAUUUCAUAUCUAGCAAUCUUUAAACACAUCCUCAGGUUUUCAAUCACAUCACAACAUCACAACCUGUUUAAUACAUCAUUCAGUUCACAUACACAAGCUUUAAACAAGAGAAAGAGGUUUCUUACAGCCAAGGAACUAGUGUUAGUUCCUUGAAACUCCAUAGAACAUGGCAAGACAGUGAGCUGUUGGUGUCGACCCCAACUUCUCCUUCUUCCAAGGACCUUUCUCUUGAACUCUCCAUGUCAAAGACCCCACCUUUCUUCAUGUUACACUCGCCACACCAGUACCAGAUGAAAGCUAUCACCUUUCUUCUUGGACAGUGAAUAAGAAACAGCUUGUAUAAAGCUUUGAAGCUUGGUUGAUCAGACCACUUCCUGCCUUGUUUCCAAGAGCCUUCUUUCUUCAUGGGCGUCAUGAGAGGGUGAGAAACGACCACAUACAGCUUCUGGACACCAGGGAUGAACCCAUCUUCCACUUGAGAUGUUGAACAGCCGGCUGGAUCAUCUAAGCUUGGUCUUGGUUUCAAAACGACAUGAGAGGAGCUUGUGAGCUUUUGCGGAAGCUAAGAACCAGAUUCAGAUGAACCUGGCUCUGAUACCAUGUGAGAUUUUCAGAGAUCUCAGGCUGUGUGUUUGUGUGAAACCUAAUAGGGCAGAGAGAGAGAGAGAGUUUGAUUUAGGUGAUUUAGAGAGAGAUAGAUUAGUGGAAGUGUUUAUGAGUGAUUAAGUGUUUACUCAGAUCAGAAACAAAAGACUUUGAGAGAUUAGGAGAUUAGAGACUAAGAAAGGGAGAGAUUAAGGGAUUCUGAUCCAAGAACACUUUUCUAUUAUGAAGGAGAAGGGGAAAUCCCCCUAACUCUCUUAAGAGUUACAAAUUGCCUCAUACAUCUCUUUAUAUAGGCUUUUACAAUCUGAGACAUCUUAAACCUAUAUCUAAUGGCUGUAAAUAACUUAAGAGGAAUGGAUGGUGUAGAUGAGCUGGUCUUGUUGCAAUCUGAGUAGUUGAUGCUGAUUGGUUAAGAGGAGGUGAAGCCUGAUUGGUUUAAUUCAAAAUGGGGAAGGCUGGAUGAUGAUUGGCUCUCCUUAGGCUCCUCCUAAUCUGUCCACAGAUCAGUCUAGGUUCAUGGUCGUGGCUCUCCUUGUCUUUACAGCCAAGGCCAGCCUGUCCCAUGACUAAAGUAGCCAAUCACACUGCAAUGGCAUCUUCUUGAUUCUCCUUUGAUGCCAUCUGAU